UAUAGGCCAAAUUCUGGAGUUUUCCUUCUCAAAUACAUUGAAUGCUUCGUUUUCAGAUAUCCAUUAGAAACAGUUUCACCAAAGAAGAUACGUUUAUACAGACAAAAGAUUGUCACAGAUAUUUGUCACAAUGAAUAUUUUUUAUGUCCAUGUUUAUCCUAACCAUAACAAAUUAUGAAAAUUCAGUAAGAUUCCUUUAUCAAAAUUCAAUCUAUAAUCUUAUAUUCAUAGCUUCAAAAUUACUUAUUUUAAAUAUUUCUAUACAUUGGAAUAAAUGUAAGUUCUUCGGUGGCAAAUAUGAGACAUUAAAUCUGUUCCAACUUCAGGUUUUACGAAAUGGGAAAUGGAAUGAGGAAAAAGCCUCAAUGUUGGUUCCUUCGAAUAUAGUCAAUAUCAAACUUGAAGAUUUAGCCCCACCUAACUAUUAUUCUAUUAGCUAGAUGCAUCUGGUACCAGAAGCUAAAGGAACUCAGUAAGCUGGUAAUCCACGUAUACUUUAACAGGAGUUGAUGUAUCUUCAUUUAUUAAUUUUGUAAUCUAUAUGUUCAAAUUCAAUAUCUAUUAUAGUGGUUUUGAAUUUGAAGGAGUAAAUGUUUUUGUUGUUUAAGUCUGUAAAAUGGUGCUGAAGUUACUUUUAUCUUGCUGAAUGAAGUUUAAUUCUUAAGACAAGGUUAGUGUUGUUUAAUUUAACAUUAACUGUGUUUUGGAAUGUCACUACCCACUUCACCACUAUUUUAUGUAUUUUUGUAAUACAGACAAGCUAAAGAUGUUAUAAAAGUUAUAAAGAAUACCUGGGAAGCAAAGAUUCAAACACACAAUUGUUUACAGUACUUAUAGGGUAUAUAAUUUUUUUGCUUGUUUUGAUGGAUCUCUUUUAGUUGCGGUGGAUUAUAUAUGUCCCCCUGACCACUUGCUUUGAAGCAUUGAUAAAACUUUGUUUUUUGUCGGAUUCACAGCUUCUUGAGACGUUGAUGAACAAUAUUGGAGAACAUGUUUAUCAUCAGGUUAUAGGCACAGCCACAGAUAGGUAUUCUUCCUAUAUUUGUGAUGAUAGUUAAGAAAAAGGUAGAAAUUAUUUUCCAUGCCUUAUUCUCAGUCAUUUAUUGAUUAAAUUAAUA
rnacentral:lncRNA from 1 species